AAAAAGUAUUUUUUCGCAGAUGGAGAAGUUGAAAAUUUUAACUUUUCUUCAGCCAAAAGUACUUUUGACUGAUAAUUUCCAUUUUUAACCUGUUUUCUCCCCAAAAAACAUUCUUUCCUCUGGUUCUUUGGCUAUACCCUUUUUUUUUCACAUUUUCUCUUUCAAAGUUCUUUCCUCUGGUUCUUUGUUCCUCUUCCGCCGCUUCAUUGCUCAAGUGGAGUUUGAUCUCUCUUGUUGAUUUGAUCGCUUUCCUUCUCAUUCAGUAUACUGCACCUAAAAUAGGAUUUCGUUUCAGGAGGAAAUAUUUGUUACUGUGGCCUGUUAUCAUCUUUUCCCUACUUGUUUUUCUUUCACAAGUUGCAUAUCUUGUUAUAUGGGUUGUUGGAGGCUAUAAACAGAGUGUAGGAGAUGCUUGGUGGCUCAAGCUAAUUGGUUUUAUGAUGUGAGGAUAUAUUUUGUUUUCUUUAAUUCUUUCCUUCAGUCUCUGCAUAUUUUGACAGUUUAUCCCUUUGGCUAUGCUUUUGUAGAAUUUAGUCUUAGAGAUCUCCCACUGUGAUCUAUUUUUUGGUUACACAACUUCUAGUGCUAGUAGUUGCAUUGCUUGAUAUACAUGGGAACAGAUUCGGUCUUGUUUCGUAGCGGUAUACUUGUUGGGGUCAUUUCUUAACAGUUGUUGAACAAUUAGGUUUGUAAGUAUUUCCUUAUUUUUCUAAUUGUUUUUUAUGUAGUGAUAUUGUUGCACUAUGUACUCUCCCCGCCCAAAACAAGAUCCAUUUAGCAAUCCUAUAUGCAUGUUUUAGGAUUAAACCAUGAGAAUAUUAUUGAUUCAGAAAAUGCGCAUGGUCGAGAAAGUGAUGAUGAUGAUGGUGAUGAUGACUGAAUCAAACAAUUCAAGUGGUUUUGAAAUGGAAUUAACAAGAGAUGUUAUAGCUUCUAGUUUAAUGUAUUCACUUUAAAUUGUAAAUGCUAUUGUAAAAUUUUUAGUAUUUAUAUUUGGUAUAUAAAUAUUAUCCCUUUUUAAAACUUUAAUCCAAAUAUAUGUAAUAUUUUAAUUUGUUAGGUUUA